rnacentral:rRNA from 1 species
AUAGCCACUAGAAAUGGUGGGUAAUACUGUAUAAUCCCUGCGGGGGAAAGAUUUAUCGCUACAUGAUGAGCCUAUGUUAGAUUAGCUAGUUGGUGGGGUAAUGGCCUACCAAGGCAGUGAUCUAUAGCUGGUCUGAGAGGAUGAUCAGCCACACUGGAACUGAGACACGGUCCAGACUCCUACGGGAGGCAGCAGUGGGGAAUAUUGGACAAUGGGCGCAAGCCUGAUCCAGCUAUGCCGCGUGAGUGAGGAAGGCCUUAGGGUUGUAAAACUCUUUCAGUGGGGAAGAUAAUGACGGUACCCACAGAAGAAGUCCCGGCAAACUCCGUGCCAGCGGCCGCGGUAAUACGGAGGGGGCAAGCGUUGUUCGGAAUUAUUGGGCGUAAAGGGCAUGUAGGUG